UGCAAGCAAAAUGCCUGAAAUCACACACAUACACCGGCACAUGGUCCCGGGUGCCGUCCAGGCGGAUGCCUGUCGGUCGGAUCCAUGGGGUGUAUGGAGGCCUAACC
rnacentral:sRNA from 1 species